CAGUCGCCGCGGGAAUACAGAGGGUGCAAGCGUUAAUCGGAAUUACUGGGCGUAAAGCGCGCGUAGGUGGUUUGUUAAGUUGGAUGUGAAAUCCCCGGGCUCAACCUGGGAACUGCAUCCAAAACUGGCAAGCUAGAGUAUGGUAGAGGGUGUUGGAAUUUCCUGUGUAGCGGUGAAAUGCGUAGAUAUAGGAAGGAACACCAGUGGCGAAGGCGACCACCUGGACUGAUACUGACACUGAGGUGCGAAAGCGUGGGGAGCAAACAGGAUUAGAUACCCCCGUAGUCCCUGUCUCUUAUAC
rnacentral:rRNA from 1 species